CUACGGGGUGCAGCAGUUAGGCAUAAUCUACAAUGUACGCAAGUAUGAUAGUUUGAAUCAGAGUGCUUUGCUUUGCAAAGCUUUUGUGAAAUCUAAAAAGUUUUACGAAUAAGGACUGGGUAAGACGAGUGCCAGCCGCCGCGGUAAUACUCGCGGUCCAAGUCGCAGCCAUUUUUAUUGGGUCUAAAACAUCCGUAGCUUGCUUGGUAAGUUCCUUGUGAAAUCCUAUAUCUCAAGUAUGGGGCGCGCAAGGAGUACUGCUAAGCUAGAGACUGGGAGACGUAACGAGUACGUUUGAGGUAGCGGUAAAAUGUGUUAAUCUUAGACGGACUAACAAUAGCGAAGGCACGUUACGAGAACAGUUCUGACAGUAAGGGAUGAAGGCCAGGGGCGCAAAACGGAUUAGAUACCCUGGUAGUC
rnacentral:rRNA from 1 species